rnacentral:rRNA from 1 species
UACAGAGGGUGCAAGCGUUAAUCGGAAUUACUGGGCGUAAAGCGUGCGUAGUCGGUUAUUUAAGUCGGAUGUGAAAUCCCCGGGCUCAACCUGGGAAUUGCAUUCGAUACUGGAUAGCUAGAGUUCGGCAGAGGGAAGUGGAAUUUCAGGUGUAGCGGUGAAAUGCGUAGAUAUCUGAAGGAACAUCAGUGGCGAAAGCGACUUCCUGGCCUGUUCUUGACGCUGAGGCGCGAAAGCUAGGGGAGCAAACGGG